GAUGAACGCUGGCGGCGUGCCUAAUACAUGCAAGUCGAGCGAACGGACGAGAAGCUUGCUUCUCUGAUGUUAGCGGCGGACGGGUGAGUAACACGUGGAUAACCUACCUAUAAGACUGGGAUAACUUCGGGAAACCGGAGCUAAUACCGGAUAAUAUUUUGAACCGCAUGGUUCAAAAGUGAAAGACGGUCUUGCUGUCACUUAUAGAUGGAUCCGCGCUGCAUUAGCUAGUUGGUAAGGUAACGGCUUACCAAGGCAACGAUGCAUAGCCGACCUGAGAGGGUGAUCGGCCACACUGGAACUGAGACACGGUCCAGACUCCUACGGGAGGCAGCAGUAGGGAAUCUUCCGCAAUGGGCGCAAGCCUGACGGAGCAACGCCGCGUGAGUGAUGAAGGUCUUCGGAUCGUAAAACUCUGUUAUUAGGGAAGAACAUAUGUGUAAGUAACUGUGCACAUCUUGACGGUACCUAAUCAGAAAGCCACGGCUAACUACGUGCCAGCAGCCGCGGUAAUACGUAGGUGGCAAGCGUUAUCCGGAAUUAUUGGGCGUAAAGCGCGCGUAGGCGGUUUUUUAAGUCUGAUGUGAAAGCCCACGGCUCAACCGUGGAGGGUCAUUGGAAACUGGAAAACUAGAGUGCAGAAGAGGAAAGUGGAAUUCCAUGUGUAGCGGUGAAAUGCGCAGAGAUAUGGAGGAACACCAGUGGCGAAGGCGACUUUCUGGUCUGUAACUGACGCUGAUGUGCGAAAGCGUGGGGAUCAAACAGGAUUAGAUACCCUGGUAGUCCACGCCGUAAACGAUGAGUGCUAAGUGUUAGGGGGUUUCCGCCCCUUAGUGCUGCAGCUAACGCAUUAAGCACUCCGCCUGGGGAGUACGACCGCAAGGUUG
rnacentral:rRNA from 1 species